rnacentral:lncRNA from 1 species
UACAUACAGUAAUUCUAUAGGACAAAAUUGAUUUUGCAAUCUAACUUAAUAAAAACAGUACAACAGUAAGAAAAAGUUGAAAAUGGAAAAAAAAAAUUGGCGGCGUUUUUAGCAGUGACACGGGUAAAUGAGACAUCAUAUUUGACUACAAAAACAGAUUAUAAACUUUAUAACUAUCACAGGGGUAAAAAUUAUACUUUAUAAUUGUUAAAAAUCAAAAGUUUAUAAAAUACAAUGCUAUAUUAUGCAUAUUCUCUAACGUUGCAUUGUUUAUGUAGUGACAAAGAACAUGGUUUAGCAUGCGGAAUUUAAGUUUGCACAAUUGAACAUAGUGAUUUGGGUGUUUAAGAGAUAUAUUGAAUGUAUAUGGUGUUACACAAAAAGGAUCUAGAUCUAGACUACAUAAUUAACACACACUUACACACUCACUUUUACAUCUCUCAAGCACACCUCUACAAGUGGACAAACCCACUAUUUAUAGAGGUGUUUACAUGUCUCUCUCUCACUCUCUAUCUCUCAUGAGUCAAAAGGAAAAUACUCCACAUGCAAGUGGGUCUACACAAGUCAAACAUUUACAAAGUCAUGAAUGAAUAACUUUGCACCCCAACAUUCUCCCCUUCAAAGUUAGGAAUGAAUGACCCACUUCAAAUCUUCCAAAAUCAAGCACUACGCGGUUCAAGCCUCAAAGGUGACACAUGUCGAAACGAACUUCAAUCUUCAAUUCUUCCAUGACUCUUCAAUUUGGGCUCUAGGAUGUGAGACCAUACAAACCAAGCAGCAACGAAUGAUUAACUCCAAAUAAUCACCCCAAAGUUGCGCAUAAAAACACACCCCAAAAAUCUUCAAUAAACCAAACCCAUUUCGAAUACAUCACUUCCGAACUUCCAAUUGCAUCAUCUCGUAAGCUUCAAAACUUCAAGAUCACUUCGGUCUUCAAAUCCGCGUAAUAUGAAAAAUUCAAGUUCGAAUUUCCAUAUAAAACUUCUCCCCCUUUUUAUAAUCGAAAUUUGAUUAUAAAACCUCCAAGGAAAAAGAACGUGCUCUAUUCGGAAUUUUUCAUGUCAAAACUCCCCCUUAACAUGUGGCAUAAACAUUGUGCUUCAAUCCGAAAAAUCCAAAAAAUAUUGAAUUUUUAGCUUCGUUCACGGAUCGCCUUUGACAAAAUUUCUCAAAAAUGGGUAGAAAUUGUCAAUUUCAAAAUUCUGCAGUGACCCGGUGCGCCAAAAACAGCCAAAUAUGCGAAACACACCCCCAUUUGCGAAACUGGGUAAAAUGUGUAAAUUCGCACAAACUACAGGGACCAGAUUUGAAAAUUCAGCAAUUUCAGCAUUUUAUGACCCCAUUUGCGAAGUUGGGUAUAAACUGUCAAAAAUGCGAAACUACUGGUACUCGUUUUGACAAUUUCUGCAUGUUCUUCAAACUUGCGAAGUUGGGUAACUUGUGUUAUUUCUUGAAAAGAGCAGGGACCAAAUGCGAAACUGUUAACUUUCUUCUUCAUUGAACUGGUAAUAACAGGGAAUGCUUCGCAUUUUCAUUCCCACACCCUUCGCAUCCCUUCGCAUGUUCCACCCAAUUAAUCAAAUGCGAACUCUCAAUUGGAAAAUGCGAACCCGAUUCAUCAGACAAGUGUGUAAAUCAAAAAUAAUUUUGAAUAAUUGCUGAAACUCAUCCAAAUGCGAACUCAUGUUUUUGUUCUGAAAACAGUUUGCAUAAUCAUCCAUGUUUUUGAAUAAUUUUGAAAUUCCAAAUGUGAACUCAACUUUGAUCUCAUAUGCGAACCGUUCUUGACUCCAAAAUUGAUUUCCUUUGGACGCGAACGAACACACAUACAACAUACAGAUCAUCGACUCAACCCCUUAAAUCAAAAUUAACAGUUUGUUUUAACAAAUCAUCGACUCCAAUCAUGCGAAGUCUUCAAUCGUUCAUUCACAGCAAAACAUAGUCGAUCAUUUUUCGUUCAUUCUAUCAUCACCCAUCGACUCCAAACACUCGAACAGUAUGCCCCAAUUCCAAAAUCAAAUUUUCGUUUUACACGCCUCGAUCAUUCCAACUCAUUCAAUCAAACGAUUUCCAAUUCUUCGAUCACGAUCACAGACCGUGGAACAAUUAUCCAACCCUAAAAUUGAAAAUCAAAUCUUCGAACAUCGACUGAUCAAUUUGUAAAUCAAAGACUUUCAAUUCAAAAUCACAAAUCAACAGUUAAAGGUCGAAUCCACCAAAAAUCUCGAUCAACUAGGAGCCUUUGCUUUUGACGAUGAUGAAAGAAAAUUUGAUCUUAGUUUCAGUUCGUCAAUUAGACAUCAAGAACAACAUCUACCAAAAUUUCCAUCAUAACUCCAAGAUCAAAUUUGCAGAUCAUCAAUGGAUAUUACCAAUCGAUUUCACAUCCUUAUUACUCUUUGAUUUUACUUCCAAAACUGAUAUCGAUUUUGAUUAAAAAAAUUUCGUUUGACUUGCGAACGAUCUUUCUAAUCGAUCCAAGCAAAGAAAUCAAAUACAAAUCAUAACUACAACUUAGAGUUUUGAAGAUAAUCAGACUCAAAAUAACAUGUGAAUAGAUUCAUAUUUGAGAUACUAUCGAGUUCAAACACCGAUUACGGAAGAAGAAGAAUGAAUGAAUAAAAGAUCUAAUAGAGUAUGAGCUCAUGAACAGUAACUAAAAUCCAUUUGAGUAUCGAUGAACAGUAACAGAUUAAUUGUUUUUGGGCUUGAAUUUGGGCUAAAUGCAUUGAUCAGAUGAACAUUGGACUUUCAAAUGAUAUAACAAUUGAUUUUCAAAUUUUGUUUUGAGUUUGAUCAAUUAAAAAAAAUUGGAUCAUAACAAAUGGGUUUUUCAAAGAAAAUUUGAUCCAAUGAGUCAAACGAUCACAAAUCAAAAACGCAACGCAUGAAUCAAAUAUUACGAGAGAUCAUAGAGAGAGACUCACCAAAAUUGCUCAAAAUUGUGACAAAAAUUGCCAAACCGAGAAUCGUUCUUCAAAAAUCACCUUGAUCUUGAAGACCCGCUUUGAUACCAAUUGUAGUGACAAAGAACAUGGUUUAGCAUGCGGAAUUUAAGUUUGCACAAUUGAACAUGGUGAUUUGGGUGUUUAAGAGAUAUAUUGAAUGUAUAUGGUGUUACACAAAAAGGAUCUAGAUCUAGACUACAUAAUUAACACACACUUACACACUCACUUUUACAUCUCUCAAGCACACCUCUACAAGUGGACAAACCCACUAUUUAUAGAGGUGUUUACAUGUCUCUCUCUCACUCUCUAUCUCUCAUGAGUCAAAAGGAAAAUACUCCACAUGCAAGUGGGUCUACACAAGUCAAACAUUUACAAAGUCAUGCAUGAAUAACUUUGCACCCCAACAGUUUAAUUCCAUUUAUGUUUAAAAAAUUCAGAAAAAAGAAAGAUAAAAUGCAGAAAUAUGACUUAUUAUAAGGUAGAUUUUAUGAGAGGGGUAAAACAGUCAAAUUUGUUGCAAUAUGUGUAUUUUAUUUCAACACAUAUGCAAAUAUGAAAAUAGUCGAAUCAUAUUUUUUUUAUUUUAUUGAAAGAACUGGUAAAAUCUUUGGAUUUGGUAAUUAUUGUGAUUGGACAAAAUUGUAAUUUGUUUAAAUUAAUCAGAAAUUUGUUAUCUGAAGUGUCUAUGUGUGUAUUUGUUUUAUUAUGAAUAAUGUCAAUUCUGGAUAAAGGUCAUUUUGGUCCUUCUAUUAUGAUUUUUUUUUAUAAACUAAGUCUGGUCUAGAUAACUUGUAAAACAUUUUCUGUUUCAUUGGGGAUCUUCAUGAAAAUAAAUUUAUACGACAAAUCAAGUUGCCUAAGUAGCAUGACAAUUAUAAUACAAUCCAAGUAAAAAUCAACUAUUUUCGUAUAAAAUUAGUUGUCAAGCCGGUUAUAAUAGUCUUUGUUUAUACACCUAAUUAAGACAUAAUAAAAACAAUGAGAAUGGUGUUUUAGGAAACUGAAAAAAUUCAGGGGCAAAUCAGUAAGACAUAGAAAAAGUGUAUACAUUCUUAUGAAAAAAUAGUUAAAAGUAAAAAAUUUAUAAAGUACAACGCAUAUAAUGCAGAAAAAAAAUGUUAAUACGGCAAAAAUGUGGCUUAUUAUAAAAAAAAAUUAUGUAGGGGCAAAAUAGUCAAAUCUGUUGUAAUUUGACUUUUACAAACAUGUCCGUGAGCAUAUUUUGGGUUUAAGAGGUUGAAAAUAAAAUAAAUGUGUUGGACUUAUAAUAUGCUAGUCAUAAUUUAAUAAUACUCAAAUCUGUCUUUAUAUUUUCAUAUUGAAGAUGCUUCCUUUUCGCAACAUCUCCCAGGCUAUUGGAAACUAUUUUUUUAAUUGAUUAAGGAUGUUCAGGAGUUUGAUUCCAAGGUAAAAAUCAUUCAUACUUUUCUGUAAUAUAUAAUAUUAUAUUAUAUAAAAAUUAUAUUUCUAACUUUUUGAUUACUUCUCAUGUUUUAUGUUGUUUCUCAUUUUAGGUUCAACUGUUAAACACAAUCUCUGUGUAAUUGCCUAUGUUUUUGAUAUCAUCCCAUAUGCUCUUGAUUUGGUUCAAUUUUUUUCAGAAGAUAUUUAUUCGAAAUACUACAUGAUCAACUUAUAAGUUUAUUCUUAUUUGUCUAACCGAAAAACUCUCCCUUUUUAUGUCUUUGGGAGGAAUCUUCUGCUGAAAGCCUUCUACAGAUACAAAUUCUAACCGAACUCAAGAACUUCAUAGUUGCACUUGGGUAUAAGUCCCAUAUAUGCUAUAAUGUUCUACUCCCUGUUUUAGUAUUAUGGUGUUUGGUAUUGAUUUAUGGAGGGGCUGUUUAGUACUUAUAACUUGAAAGCAGGGAUUAUUUUUGCGAAUUUGUGUAGGGGUUGUUUGGUAUUUUUCUAUUAUAAAUCAAGGUAAAUAAAUAUCAUAUGUUCUGCAUGUACCUUUCUUUCAAAUAUGAUCAUGUUUAACAUGUAUAUGCAUGGUAAAUCAUUAAACAAACAACUUUGAAUCAAUUAGCUAUGCUCUGAAGCAAAAAUUUACUGAAUUAUAUCAAGUAGAAGAGUAAUUUGAGAAAAAAAAAAGGUACAGGGUCAUACCUGGUUUAGGUAGACAGACUUAAUCAAGAAGCUUUGAUGAAAUUGACAAUUAGAUAAGGGUAUUCCGCCUCCUGGCACCUGUGGAAGAUUAACCGAGAGUAGAGAAAAUAUUUAGCAACUCAAAUCGGAGAGACGAAAUAGCUUGGAAUCGAUUAGGUUAAAUGAAAUUUCAAUUAGCUAUUAUCGCUUGCCUUGAAUAGAAAAGGUACGAAGAUAACUAAGUCUUGGAGCCUUCAAUGGUGUGAAUCGAAACUUUGGAAACGAGAUGAAUAGUACCAAUGAAUGGCACUGUGAGCCUGCUACCUUUAAUGGCAGUGAUUGCCUGAUUCCCGACUUAGGGUUGAGAGGAGUAUGACGUCGAUUGAAAGAUCAGAUGUAAUUGGGUAUAGCGUGC